AACGAACGCUGGCGGCAUGCCUAACACAUGCAAGUCGAACGAGACCUUCGGGUCUAGUGGCGCACGGGUGCGUAACGCGUGGGAACCUGCCCUUAGGUUCGGAAUAACUCCCCGAAAGGGGUGCUAAUACCGGUUAAUGUCUUCGGACCAAAGAUUUAUCGCCUUUGGAUGGGCCCGCGUUGGAUUCGCUGGUUGGUAGGGUAAAAGCCUACCAAGGCGACGAUCCAUAGCUGGUCUGAGAGGAUGAUCAGCCACACUGGGACUGAGACACGGCCCAGACUCCUACGGGAGGCAGCAGUGGAGAAUAUUGGAGGAGGGGCGAAAGCCUGAUCCAGCAAUGCCGCGUGAGUGAUGAAGGCCUUAGGGUUGUAAAGCUCUCUUACCCGGGAUGAUAAUGACAGUACCGGGAGAAUAAGCACCGGCUAACUACGUG
rnacentral:rRNA from 1 species